UGCCAAGACUUGAUAAACGCCAUUCAGAAA
rnacentral:piRNA from 1 species